AAGUCGAACGAAGACCCGGAGCUUGCUCCGGAAUUCUUAGUGGCGAACGGGUGAGUAACGCGUGGGAAUCUACCUAGUAAUGGGGAAUAACUAUUGGAAACGAUAGCUAAUACCGCAUAAUCCCUUAGGGGCAAAGGCUUCGGCCGUUUUUAGAUGAGCCCGCGUUAGAUUAGGCUGUUGGUGAGGUAAUGGCUCACCAAACCUACAAUCUAUAGCUGGUCUGAGAGGAUGAUCAGCCACACUGGGACUGAGACACGGCCCAGACUCCUACGGGAGGCAACAGUGGGGAAUAUUGGACAAUGGGGGAAACCCUGAUCCAGCAAUGCCGCGUGAGUGAUGAAGGCCUUAGGGUUGUAAAGCUCUUUCAGAAGUGAAGAUGAUGACGGUAACUUCAGAAGAAGCUCCGGCUAACUCCGUGCCAGCAGCCGCAGUAAUACGGAGGGAGCUAGCGUUGUUCGGAAUUACUGGGCGUAAAGAGCGUGUAGGCUGUUAGGUAAGUCAGAGGUGAAAUCCCUAAGCUCAACUCAGGAACUGCCUUUGAUACUAUCUUACUAGAGAUCGAGAGAAGUUGGCGGAAUUCCAAGUGUAGAGGUGAAAUUCGUAGAUAUUUGGAAGAA
rnacentral:rRNA from 1 species